GAGUGGCGUACGGGUGCGUAACACGUGUGCAACCUGCCUUAUACCGGAACAUAACGUUGAGAAAUUGACGCUAAUAUUCCAUAAUAUUUUAGAAAGGCAUCUUUUUAAAAUUAAAGUUAGCAAUAAUGGUAUAAGAUGGGCACGCGAUCCAUUAGUUAGUUGGCGAGGUAACGGCUCACCAAGACGACGAUGGAUAGGGGUUCUGAGAGGAUACACCCCCACACUGGAACUGAGACACGGUCCAGACUCCUACGGGAGGCAGCAGUAAGGAAUAUUGGUCAAUGGAGGCAACUCUGAACCAGCCAUGCCGCGUGCAGGAAGACAGCCCUACGGGUUGUAAACUGCUUUUAUUGGAGGAUAAAAGAGAAUACGUGUAUUCUUUUGCAGGUAUCCAAUGAAUAAGCAUCGGCUAACUCCGUGCCAGCAGCCGCGGUAAUACGGAGGAUGCAAGCGUUAUCCGGAUUUAUUGGGUUUAAAGGGUGCGCAGGCGGACUGAUAAGUCAGUGGUGAAAUUUACAUGCUCAACAUGUAUCGUGCCAUUGAUACUGUCAGACUAGUAUUCAAAUGACGUAGCUGGAAUGUGUUAUGUAGCGGUGAAAUGCUUAGAUAUAACACAGAACGCCGAUAGUGAAGACAGGUUACGAAUUUGUGAUAGACGCUCAUGCACGAAAGCGUGGGGAUCAAACAGGAUUAGAUACCCUGGUAGUCCACGCUGUAAACGAUGUUCACUCGUUGUUGGAUGUUUACCAUUCAGCGGCUAAGCGAAAGCGAUAAGUGAACCACC
rnacentral:rRNA from 1 species